AUUGAACGCUGGCGGCAUGUCUUACACAUGCAAGUCGAACGGUAACAGGUCUUCGGAUGCUGACGAGUGGCGAACGGGUGAGUAAUACAUCGGAACGUGCCUAGUAGUGGGGGAUAACUACUCGAAAGAGUGGCUAAUACCGCAUGAGAUCUACGGAUGAAAGCAGGGGAUCGCAAGACCUUGUGCUACUAGAGCGGCCGAUGGCAGAUUAGGUAGUUGGUGGGAUAAAAGCUUACCAAGCCGACGAUCUGUAGCUGGUCUGAGAGGACGAUCAGACACACUGGGACUGAGACACGGCCCAGACUCCUACGGGAGGCAGCAGUGGGGAAUUUUGGACAAUGGGCGAAAGCAUGAUCCAGCAAUGCCGCGUGCAGGAUGAAGGCCUUCGGGUUGUAAACUGCUUUUGUACGGAACGAAAAGCCCCGGGUUAAUACCCUGGGGUCAUGACGGUACCGUAAGAAUAAGCACCGGCUAACUACGUGCCAGCAGCCGCUGUAA
rnacentral:rRNA from 1 species